AUUGAACGCUGGCGGCAGGCUUAACACAUGCAAGUCGAGCGAGCGGCGGACGGGUGAGUAAUGUCUGGGAAACUGCCUGAUAGAGGGGGAUAACUACUGGAAACGGUAGCUAAUACCGCAUACCAUCAGAUGUGCCCAGAUGAGAUUAGCUAGUAGGUGGGGUAAUGGCUCACCUAGGCGACGAUCCCUAGCUGGUCUGAGAGGAUGACCAGCCAAAAGGGAACUGAGACACGGGCCAGACGCCUACGGGAGGGAGCAGUGGGGAAACUUGCACAAUGGGCGCAAGGCUGAUUCAGCCAUGCCGCGUGUGUGAAGAAGGCCUUCGGGUUGUAAAGCACUUUCAGCGAGGAGGCGUUACUCGCAGAAGAAGCACCGGCUAACUCCGUGCCAGCAGCCGCGGUAAUUC
rnacentral:rRNA from 1 species